rnacentral:rRNA from 1 species
AUUGAACGCUGGCGGCAGGCCUAACACAUGCAAGUCGAGCGGAUGAUGGGAGCUUGCUCCUGGAUUCAGCGGCGGACGGGUGAGUAAUGCCUAGGAAUCUGCCUGGUAGUGGGGGACAACGUUUCGAAAGGAACGCUAAUACCGCAUACGUCCUACGGGAGAAAGCAGGGGACCUUCGGGCCUUGCGCUAUCAGAUGAGCCUAGGUCGGAUUAGCUUGUUUGUGAGGUAAUGGCUCACCAAGGCGACGAUCCGUAACUGGUCUGAGAGGAUGAGCAGUCACACUGGAACUGAGACACGGUCAAGACUCCUACGGGAGGCAGCAGUGGGGAAGAUUGAAAAAUGGGCGAAAGCCUGAUUCAGCCAUGCCGCGUGUGUGAAGAAGGUCUUCGGAUUGUAAAGCACUUUAAGUUGGGAGGAAGGGUUGUAGAUUAAUACUCUGCAAUUUUGACGUUACCGACAGAAUAAGCACCGGCUAACUCUGUGCCAGCCGCCGCAGUAAAAC